UGGCUUGGUCUUACUUUUCUUUUAUCGGUUGGAGAGACAUAGUCACUCGUUUCAUGUGAUAAAGCAUCGAUCAACGAAUCAAUAGGAUAUGCGGUGCGGUGCGGUGAGGUUAGUUGGUAAGUGUGGCCUUUUGGAACACAUGAUACUCUCUUUUCUUACUUAACGGAUGGCUUGUUUGUUGGAGCACCAGCAUUGGUUCUUAUUCUAAUGGGUUUCUAUCUACAUAAAUCUAUACUAAUAAAAGGAACAUUUUGAAGCUCAAUAGGACGUCUACAUCAGCGAAAAAAACUUCUUCUAAAAAAUGACACGUGGCAUUAACAAAAAAAAGUAUACAUAUAAAAAUAAAUAAAUAAUAAGUAAACAUACAAUAUAAGAAAUAGACAUAUUACAUUAAACAAUAAUAAGUAAAUAUACAAUAUAAAGAAAAUAAAUAAAAAGUAAAUAUACAAUAAGAAAUAGAAAUAUUACAUUAAACAUCUAUCAUAAUUUAUCAUCUGAUUUAAAAUCAAGAAAAUUAGAAUAUGUAAAUAUAUAAUUAAAAAAUGAAAAAAAACUAAAUUAAACAUCUGUCUAAAAAUUUAUUUAUUUAUACUAAUAAAAUGGAGCUUUUGAGGCUCCAUAGAGCGUCCACAUCAACGCAAAAAAAACUUCUCCUAAAAGAUGACACAUGUCAUUAGUAAAAAAUAAAAAAUAAAUAUACAUAUAAAUAAAAAUAAUAAUAAGUAAAUAUAGAAUAUAAGAAAUAGAAAUAUUACAUUAAACAAUAAUAAGUAAAUACACAAUGUAAAGAAAAAUAAAUAAAAAAGUAAAUAUAGAAUAUAAAAAAUAAAAAUAUUACAUUAAACAUUUAUCACAAUUACAUUAAACAUCAAUCAUAAUUUAUCAUUUGAUACAAUUAAGAAAUUAAAAAAAAAAAAUCUAUCUGAAAAAUAUAUAGUAAAAUAAAUAAUAACUAAAUACAUAAUAUAAAAAAUAGAAAUAUUAUAUUAUACAAUUAUCGUAAUAUUAGAAAAAAUAUAUAUAAAAUAUAAGAAAAAAUAAAUAUUAAGUAAAUAUAGUAUAUAAGAAAUAAAAUUAUUGCAUUAAAUAUAUAUGGUAAUAUUAUCAUUGAUGUAAAAGCAAGAAAUUUAGAAUAAAUAAAUAUACAAAAUAAGAAAGAUAAACAGUAAGUAAAUAUACAAUAUAAAAAAUGGAAAAACUAAAUUAAACAUUUAUUUGAAAAAUGUAUAGUUAAAUAAAUAAUAACUAAAUAUCCAACAUAAAAAUAUUAGAUUACACAUAUAUUAUAACAUUAGAAUAAGUAAAUAAGGAACAUUUUGAGGCUCAAUAGGACGUCCACGUCAGCGAAAAAAACUUCUUCUAAAAGAUGACACGUGGCAUUAUUAAAAAAAAAAACAUAUGAAGAAAAAUAAAUAAUAAGUAAACAUACAAUAUAAGAAAUAGACAUAUUACAUUAAACAAUAAUAAGUAAAUAUACAAUAUAAAGAAAAUAAAUAAAAAGUAAAUAUACAAUAAGAAAUAGAAAUAUUACAUUAAACAUCUAUCAUAAUUUAUCAUCUGAUUUAAAAUCAAAAAAAUUAGAAUAUGUAAAUAUAUAAUUAAAAAAUGAAAAAAACUAAAUUAAACAUCUAUCUAAAAAUUUAGUUAUUUAUACUAAUAAAAUGGAGCUUUUGAGGCUCUAUAUAGCGUGCACAUCAACGAAAAAAAUUUCUCCUAAAAGAUGACACAUGUCAUUAGUAAAAAAUAAAAAAUAAAUAUACAUAUAAAGAAAAAAAAUAAUAAGUAAAUAUAGAAUAUAAGAAAUAGAAAUAUUACAUUAAACAAUAAUAAGUAAAUACACAAUGUAAGGAAAAAUAAAUAAAAAAAGUAAAUAUAAAAUAUAAAAAAUAGAAAUAUUACAUUAAACAUUUAUCACAAUUACAUUAAACAUCAAUCAUAAUUUAUCAUUUGAUACCAUUAAGAAAUUAAAAAAAAAUAAAAAUCUAUCUGAAAAAUAUAUAGUAAAAUAAAUAAUAACUAAAUACAUAAUAUAAAAAAUAGAAAUAUUAUAUUAUACAAUUAUCGUAAUAUUAGAAAAAAUAUAUAUAAAAUAUAAGAAAAAAUAAAUAUUAAGUAAAUAUAGUAUAUAAGAAAUAAAAUUAUUACAUUAAAUAUAUAUGGUAAUAUUAUCAUUGAUGUAAAAGCAAGAAAUUUAGAAUAAAUAAAUAUACAAAAUAAGAAAGAUAAACAGUAAGUAAAUAUACAAUAUAAAAAAUAGAAAAACUAAAUUAAACAUUUAUUUGAAAAAUGUAUAGUUAAAUAAAUAAUAACUAAAUAUCCAACAUAAAAAUAUUAGAUUACACAUAUAUUAUAACAUUAGAAUAAGUAAAUAAGGAACAUUUUGAGGCUCUAUAGGACGUCCACAUCAGCGAAAAAAAUUUCUUCUAAAAGAUAACACGUGGCAUUAACAAAAAAAAAAAAUACAUAUGAAGAAAAAUAAAUAAUAAGUAAACAUACAAUAUAAGAAAUAGACAUAUUACAUUAAACAAUAAUAAGUAAAUAUACAAUAUAAAGAAAAUAAAUAAAAAGUAAAUAUACAAUAAGAAAUAUUACAUUAAACAUCUAUCAUAAUUUAUCAUCUGAUUUAAAAUCAAGAAAAUUAGAAUAUGUAAAUAUAUAAUUAAAAAAUGAAAAAAAACUAAAUUAAACAUCUAUCUAAAAAUUUAUUUAUUUAUACUAAUAAAAUGGAGCUUUUGAGGCUCCAUAGAGCGUCCACAUCAACGAAAAAAAACUUCUCCUAAAAGAUGACACAUGUCAUUAAUAAAAAAUAAAAAAUAAAUAUACAUAUAAAUAAAAAAAAUAAUAAGUAAAUAUAGAAUAUAAGAAAUAGAAAUAUUACAUUAAACAAUAAUAAGUAAAUACACAAUGUAAGGAAAAAUAAAUAAAAAAGUAAAUAUAGAAUAUAAAAAAUAGAAAUAUUACAUUAAACAUUUAUCACAAUUACAUUAAACAUCAAUCAUAAUUUAUCAUUUGAUACAAUUAAGAAAUUAAAAAAAAAAUUAUAUCUG
rnacentral:lncRNA from 1 species